GUGAGGAAUAUUGGGCAAUGGGCGAAAGCCUGACCCAGCCACGCCGCGUGAGUGAUGAAGGCCUUCGGGUUGUAAAGCUCUGUGGGGAGGGAAGAAAAAGCGGGAGAGUAACUGCUCUCGUGUUGACGGUACCUCCUUAGCAAGCACCGGCUAACUCUGUGCCAGCAGCCGCGGUAAUACAGAGGGUGCAAACGUUGCUCGGAAUUACUGGGCGUAAAGCGCGUGUAGGCUGACAUGCAAGUCGGGUGUGAAAUCCCAGGGCUCAACCUUGGAACUGCACUCGAAACUGCACGUCUUGAGUACUGGAGAGGGAAGCGGAAUUCCGGGUGUAGAGGUGAAAUUCGUAGAUAUCCGGAGGAACACCAGUGGCGAAGGCGGCUUCCUGGACAGUAACUGACGCUGAGACGCGAAAGCGUGGGGAGCAAACAGGAUUAGAUACCCGGGUAGUCC
rnacentral:rRNA from 1 species